rnacentral:rRNA from 1 species
CCUACGGGUGGCUGCAGUCGAGAAUAUUCCGCAAUGCACGAAAGUGUGACGGAGCGACGCCGCGUGCCGAAAGAAGGCCUUCGGGUUGUAAACGGCUUUUAUGAGGGACGAAUUUUGACGGUACCUCAUGAAUAAGGGGUUGCUAACUCUGUGCCAGCAGCAGCGGUAAUACAGAGACCCCAAGCAUUAUCCGGAUUUAUUGGGCGUAAAGGGUGUGUAGGUGGUUUUGUAAGUCAUUUGUUAAAUCUUCAGGCUCAACCUGGAGGCUGCAGGUGAUACUACAAGGCUAGAGUGCGGGAGAGGUAAGCGGAAUGCCCGGUGUAGCGGUAAAAUGCGUUAAUAUCGGGUAGAACACCAAAGGCGAAAGCAGCUUACUGGAACGUCACUGACACUGAAACACGAAAGCGUGGGUAGCGAAAGGGAUUAGAUACCCUUGUAGU